GCAUUUGGCGGGAUCUGUGUCUCUCGCUGGUGCUGGCACAAGAGCUUGGGAUCCGUCUCCUCUUUCGCCUCCUGCACCUUGGGAGCCCCGGGCUACUCUCUCACAGCCCCUGUUGCCCUGUGAUCUGUAGGUCCUUGGGGACGCAUAGUUAAGGUGCCAGGACAUCCUGGAAGCUGGGAAAUGAUUUCUUCCAGACCAUGGCUGGAGAAGGAAAGAAGGUGUGUUUUGCCUGACUCAGUGACUAUAGAGAGAACCAAGUUCUGCAGGCCUGUCACCUAAGUCUCAGGGCGGGGAGACCUUCCUUCCCCACGGGUUUGAGGCUAUGGCUAAGUGGUGAGCCUUGGUGAGACGCAGAAAGGAUCCAUCCCAGGCACUUGGCUAGAGCUUUUGCAUAUGCAGAAGAAGAAUUGGAUGAAAUUCAGCCUUGAUUAUGAUGAAAACUCUCAACAAGUUAGGAAUAGAAGGUCCUGUAGCUUUUUCUUUUGAGACGGAGUUUUGCUCUGUUGCCCAGGCUGGAGUGCAGUGGUGCAAUCUUGGCUCCCUGCAAGCUCCGCCUCCCGGAUUCACGCCAUUCUCCUGCCUCAGAUUCCCCAGCAGCUGGGAAUUCAGGCACCCGCCACCAUGCCCGGCUAUUUUUAUUUUUAUUUGUUUAUUUUUUUUAGUAGAGACAGGGUUUCACUGUGUUAGCCAGGAUGGUCUCAAUCUCCUGACCUCGUUGAUCCACCCACCUCGGCCUCCCAAAUUGCUAGGAUUACAGGCGUGAGCCACCGCUCCUGGCCGGUCCUGUAGCUAUUAUUUCCUGUUUUUCUCUCUUGUUCUCUUUCUUAGCAUAUUAUUGAUUUUUAUAGUGACAUGUUUUACUUCUUUUCUCACUACUCUCUCUGUGUGUAUGUCUUUGUGUGUGUGUACUAUAGGUAUUUCCUUUUUUUUUUUUUUUUUUGACAGGGUCUUGCUCUGUCGCCCAGGCUGGAGGGCAGUGGCACAAUAUCUGCUUAUUGCAAGCUCUGCCUCUCAGGCUCAACUCAAACAAUCCUCCCACCACAGCCUUCUGAGUACCUGGGACCACAGAUGUGCACCAGUACUCCUGGCUAAUUUUUGUUAUUUUUCAUAGAGACAGGGUUUUGCCAUGUUGCCCAGACUAGUCUCAAAAUCCUAAGUACUAUAGGUAUUUUCUUUGUUGUUACUAUAGAUAUUACCAAAAAUAACUACUAUAGCAUAUAAAACCCUGCCUCUUUAUGGCUGCCUAUGUGUUUUAUUGAUGUCGCGAAUUACAUCAUUUUGUAUUGUGAAUCUAUUGGCACAGUUAUAUAGUCAUUUUUAAGUCUUUGUUAUCUCAACUACAUAGCAGAAUUAAAAGUAUUCUGUGCAUCUUCAUUAUAAUAACAAAAAUAUUAUAAUUGUGUACAUAAUUAUCUGUUAGAAAACUUUAUAUUUUACAUAAUUCUAUGUUGCUCUCAUCAUUAUUUUAUUUUUUAAUGUCAAUGACUAGCAUUUUUUUAUACAGGCCUACCGUGCAUAAAUUAAUACAGUUUUCGUUGAUCUUGAAUAUUCUUUAUUUUUAUUUUUUAAUUCAUUUGAAAUGAUAGCUUUGGCAGACAUAGUGUUCUUGGUUGGUACUUGCCAUUUUUUUCAGCACUUUGAGUAUGUCAUCCUACAACCUCUUGCCUGCAUGCUAUUGGCUGAGACAUCUGCUGGUCAUCCUAUAGGGGUAACAUUGUACAUGCUAAGUCAUUUUUUCUUGCUGACUUCAAGAUUCUCGGUGUUUUAACAUUUGAAUCUCUGAUUAAAAUGUGUCUUGUCAUGGGUCUCCCUGUGUUGCUACUAGUUGGUAAAGUUUCAUUAAAUUUUAGGCCAUUUUCUCCCUCAAAUUUUGAGAGUUCUCAGCCACUGUUUGUUUCUUGAAAUAACUUUGCUGCUCUCUUUUCUCUCUUUUUAUUUUAGAAUUCCCAUUAGAAGUAUAUUGGCCAUCUUAAUGGUAUCCCAUAAGUCCCUUAGGCUUUCUUAAUUUUUAAAAUUAUUUUUACCCUCCUCACCAUAUAAUUUCAAAAGACUUCUUAUGAAGCUUGCUGGAUUUUUUCCUGCUAGAUCAAACCAGUUGUUGGACCUUCUAGUGAAUCUCUAAAUUCAGGUAUUUUAUUUUUCAGCUCCACACUUUAUGUUUCUAUUUUGUACUUUUAAUCACUUCAUUGAUAAUCUCAUUAUCUUCAUGAAUUGUUUUCUUUUUCUGUUUAGCUUUCUAUGUUCUUCUUUAGCUGAAUGAGCAUCUUUAAGCUAGGUGUUUUAGCCAGGCACAUUGAUAUGUGUGUCUAAUUCCAGCUACUUUGAAAGCUAAGGCAAGGGGAUUACUGUAUUAAUAAAUUCUCAUGCAGCUAAUAAAGACAUAACCAAGACUGGA